GGUGCAUUGUCCGACACCUGAUACAACUGAACCGAUAUAAAGAAGAUUAGCAUGGCCCCUGUUCAAGUAUGACAUCUACAAAUCGAGAAACUUGAAUGGAUUGU